rnacentral:lncRNA from 1 species
GCUAUGCUCUCCAUCUAUAAAAAGGGAUCCCCAAAUACGUUCAUCUCUAAGCUCAAAACUCUAUCUUGAAACUCUGCUAAAAUCUCAUUUGAGUGCUCCAUUUUUGUUGAGACAGAGUACUAACUUGAGCGUCGGAGGGUCUUGCCGGAGGAUCCCCAACUCCGGUUUAGACUUUCCUUGCAGGUCCCAGCGAUGGAUGCAAUCCCCUCAGCUCC